GACGAACGCUGGCGGCGUGCUUAACACAUGCAAGUCGAACGGAAAGGCCCUGCUUUUGUGGGGUGCUCGAGUGGCGAACGGGUGAGUAACACGUGAGUAACCUGCCCUUGACUUUGGGAUAACUUCAGGAAACUGGGGCUAAUAACGGAUAGGAGCUCCUGCUGCAUGGGGGGGGUUGGAAAGUUUCGGCGGUUGGGGAUGGACUCGCGGCUUAUCAGCGUGUUGGUGGGGUAGUGGCUUACCAAGGCUUUGACGGGUAGCCGGCCUGAGAGGGUGACCGGCCACAUUGGGACUGAGAUACGGCCCAGACUCCUACGGGAGGCAGCAGUGGGGAAUAUUGCACAAUGGGCGGAAGCCUGAUGCAGCAACGCCGCGUGCGGGAUGACGGCCUUCGGGUUGUAAACCGCUUUCGCCUGUGACGAAGCGUGAGUGACGGUAAUGGGUAAAGAAGCACCGGCUAACUACGUG
rnacentral:rRNA from 1 species